UGAACAGAAACUAAUAUGCUAAAACUGUGCCUCGUCGUGUGUUUCACCUUACUGAACAGCUUCUGCCAAACCUUGUACCUCGGACGACUUCCGCCCGGAUAUUCGUGCGCUGGGUUAGAGCCUCUCUUUUACGAUGAAUGUGGUAAUCUCUGUUUUUGCGACCAUAACGAGGAUGUCCUCUGCGACGGAGAAGUUUGCUACGACAGUCGGCGGUUUAUAUUGCUUUAGAAAUGUUUAAUCUAAAUAAAAUGAAUGAACUAACAAAAAUCGAACAGACUUCACGAGAGCGGAUUGUAAUGGAUGAGAAAUUAUAAAUCAUUCAGCGUAGUUACAGUGUUGAAGAUUCUUAUUCUUACAAUAUGUUUUUUGAAGUAGAAUACUUCUCUCAGGAAGUUCGGCUACAUAGGGAUGUGAAAUGAAAAUCUUAAACUGAAAAAAGUGAGAAAUAUGUCCAAUUUCAAAUGCUAAUAAAUCGGUUAGUUUUCGAUAGAUUUCUCACGUUUUUGCAACAAUCGAUUAGAAAAUCUUUUAAGAUUCCUACCAAAUGCACGAAAUUGCAAUUUUAUUAUUCGAA